rnacentral:rRNA from 1 species
GCUUACGGCCUACACCCUGAACGCGCCGAUCUCGUCUGAUCUCGGAAGCCAAGCAGGGUCGGGCCUGGUCAGUACUUGGACGGGAGACCGCUGGGAAUACCAGGUGCUGUAAGCU